rnacentral:lncRNA from 1 species
GACAUUUUUUUUUUAUUUUGGUCCAUUACAUCGUCCGUGAUCAUUUAUUUCAUUUGUGUUGGGUGGCCGUCCAAAAAGCAUUAAUUAUUAUAAAUCUUAUAAACAAAUGAAUUACACAAAUAAUUAAACCUAUGGAGAAAGGGGUUUAGAUAUUACAAAUAGAUCUUAAAUUAAAUUAACAGAGGAAAAACAAAAAUGGGAGCAAACUCUAGAUCCAUACGAAUUGGAUCUGUUCCAACUGUUGACGGCUCAGUCCUCGUUAGUUCACGGCUCAGUCCUCGUCUGUUGCAACAGUUGACGGCAUAGAAAAUAUGAUUCCAGCUAUGGAAGUCGGCGACGAGAUCGGAGCAGCGCAAGAAAGAGCGGUGCAAAAGAGAGAUUUAGGUUUAGGGUUUG